rnacentral:other from 1 species
UUUUCCCUGCGAUGUUCGCGAAGGCAUAAUUCCUUUGAACCAAUACGUUCGCUUACGGUGGCGAAAGUGCGGCGGGUGUGAGCGUUUCGUAAGAAACGCACCCGAAGCCGCACGGAGCGACCGACCUUGAUGCUUAAGGUUCAAGCGAAUCGAGCCUAAACGGCAUCUGCGGGGAAACC